rnacentral:tRNA from 1 species
AGCAGUGUGGCCUAAUGGAAAGCACACUGGCCUAGGAGUCAAAAGAACCUGGGUUCGAAUCCCGGCUCUGCCA